rnacentral:rRNA from 1 species
GAUGAACGCUGGCGGCGUGCCUAAUACAUGCAAGUCGAGCGAACAGACGAGGAGCUUGCUCCUCUGACGUUAGCGGCGGACGGGUGAGUAACACGUGGAUAACCUACCUAUCAGACUGGGAUAACUUCGGGAAACCGAAGCUAAUACCGGAUAAUAUAUUGAACCGCAUGGUUCAAUAGUGAAAGACGGUUUUGCUGUCACUUAUAGAUGGAUUCGCGCCGCAUUAGCUAGUUGGUAAGGUAACGGCUUACCAAGGCAACGAUGCGUAGCCGACCUGAGAGGGUGAUCGGCCACACUGGAACUGAGACACGGUCCAGACUCCUACGGGAGGCAGCAGUAGGGAAUCUUCCGCAAUGGGCGAAAGCCUGACGGAGCAACGCCGCGUGAGUGAUGAAGGUCUUCGGAUCGUAAAGCUCUGUUAUUAGGGAAGAACAAAUGUGUAAGUAACUGUGCACGUCUUGACGGUACCUAAUCAGAAAGCCACGGCUAACUACGUG